GGCAGUGUAGUUUAACGGUAAAACAGUGCCCUCAUAAAGCACGAACGGAGGUCCGACUCCUCCCAUUGCCA
rnacentral:tRNA from 1 species